rnacentral:rRNA from 1 species
GAUGAACGCUGGCGGCGUGCCUAAUACAUGCAAGUCGAGCGAACGGACGAGAAGCUUGCUUCUCUGAUGUUAGCGGCGGACGGGGGAGUAACACGUGGAUAACCUACCUAUAUGACUGGGAUAACUUCGGGAAACCGGAGCUAAUACCGGCUAAUAUUUUGAACCGCAUGGUUCAAAAGUGAAAGACGGUCUUCCUGUCACUUAUAGAUGGAUCCGCGCUGCAUUAGCUAGUUGGUCAGGUAACGGCUUACCAAGGCAACGAUGCAUAGCCGACCUGAGAGGAUGAUCGGCCACACUGGAACUGAGACACGGUCCAGACUCCUACGGGAGGCAGCAGUAGGGAAUCUUCCGCAAUGGGCGAAAGCCUGACGGAGCAACGCCGCGUGAGUGAUGAAGGUCUUCGGAUCGUAAAACACUGUUAUUAGGGAAGAACAUAUGUGUAAGUAACUGUGCACAUCUUGACGGUACCUAAUCAGAAAGCCACGGCUAACUACGUG